AGAAUGAUGCCCAAAGCUUGUCUCAACGGGUAUGUUGUGAUUGUUUCUUCUCUCAUGUAAAGUUCUGAAGCCUUUAUUUCACGAAGAAGCGAAAUAUGUCUUAUCAAGUUUCACUUUCUCCAGCUUAUUUCUCUUCCUAUUGAUGUGGAAUAGAAGCUGUACGAACCUGCGUAUGUUGAACCAGCCUUGCAUCCCCAGGAUGAAUCCUACUUGAU
rnacentral:lncRNA from 1 species